rnacentral:siRNA from 1 species
GAAUCUUGAUGAUGCUGCA